CGUGUGUGUGUAAAUUUUAUUUAUGUAUUUUUUGUGUAGCUUGUAGGUAAGUUUUAGAGGCCUGACAAAGUAGUUUUUAUUUCUUAAGUGUUUCAUUCCCAAUAAAUCAGGUUUGUGUACUUUGGAGUGUUUGUUUGUAUGAUGUUGAUGCUGCAACUUUUUUUCAAAUAAUUCCUUAGAUAUAUCUUUAUCAUUGGUCUACUCAGGUAUGUUUUUAUACUUCCAUAGUUGAUUAAAAAUUAUGCCCUUUCAAAAUUGAAUAGGCAUUACAGCUUUGGUUUCUCUUUUCUAUGGGCCAUUUUUUAAAAGAAAGCAGUCACGCAUAUAUAAUAUGACGUCAUCCUAGCUGGGGCCGACACAAGCCAAGGCAGCUAGGGUCGCUCUAGGCUGGCAGGAGGGUGUUUGUGUAGCCAUAUAUAAGCAACCUGCUGCCUGUUGCGACACUGCAUCCAGCAUAUUGAUCCCUCCACACUUUUGCAAGUUUAAGGAGUAUUGCAGCAUGAAGCACAUGGGUGACCUGUUCCUGGAGGUGCUGGUGAUGCUGUCUAGGCCGGAGCAGCAUGGUCAACCUGGCUACCCACAGUUCCAUCACCACUGCUACUGUGUUAUUAUUUUUUUUUCUAUACUUAUCAUUGCCAUCAUUGUUGUUGCUGCUCCUGUUAUUCUUUUCUUAUUUGUUAUGUUCAGUGUUACGUUGCUAUUAUCGCAACGGUGUACCCAAUGCAUCUAUAUAAUGUUUGUUACAGUGCUGGGUGUGUUCAAGUAAAUGUUAUAUUGGAAUACA